ACCAACACAAUAAGGAGUUAGUAGAUAUGAAGCAGACAGUCUACUAAUACUCUUAUGAGAGUUUGUUGACAUGUAGUUGCAACAUUACUUAGUGUCAACAGAAUGUUCAAAAGGGACCAUCAAAAUAAAGUGUUACCAUGAAUCCUAUUUAUAUAAGGUUUUAUUUUAUUUUACUUUUUUUUUUUUGAAGGGGGCGUGUGGGGGGAGGUCUGGUUAGGGGGACCCCCCAUGAGCUUUGACACAAUUCAAACACUGUAAAGAACCUAUUGAGAAAAGUGCUGAAUAAAUUAUGGCCCUGAAGUGAGUGUGAAGAACAAUUUCUCCAUAUUCUAAAAGGGCAAAUUGGGAAGUGCUGAAUGAAAUUAAGUGAGUGCUGGCUUUUGGAUGCUCCAUACUGAACAAGAAGUAAAACAGCAAACAGAUAUUUUCGACAUAUUGUCAGUCAGAGACAUGAAGAUUGGGAUGCAAGUCAGAGAAACCUUUAUUAGAUACAGAGAGUAGAGAACAAGGGAAAAGAGAGGAAUCUCACACAACUUAAUCACAUCUUAAAACUUACUUGAAUCACGAGGGGUGUGCUAUUGUUUUGCAGCAAGUUGGUCAUGUUUUUAUUCUGACUAUCUUUCUGCUUCACAUUUUUCAGUACUCUGAUGAGGUCAGUGGUUAAAACUUUAAAAGUGCUCUCCGAGUGUCAUGAUCCUGUCUUGGGUUGAGGCUGAAAAGCACAGCUGCGGCUGCGAGGCACGACCACAUCAGUACUUUUUGUCACUCUGAUCAACCACUGCAUUUCCUUUAUUGUAAGAGGAAGGUUUAGGGUGGAGGUAGGUAGGCGGGGAAAUAUGACGGGUUUUGGCUAACUUGAACAAAUUGGACCAAUAAACAUGUCCCCUACACAUUGGCCCUCUUCCUUUUCCUCUUUCUCCCUUUUGCUCUCCUACGUUUUUGAGUUUGAAGCAUUCUUCUAGUACUAUAUUGCUUAUUCUGAGCUCUGGACGAAGUAGACUAUUCCCGCACUGUUCUUCCAGCUGGAGUUCAUUUCUCGAAUCACAUCGAACAUGCAAAACUUCAAUACAACAAGGUCUGCAGUCACACGCGUGUGUUCUUCAGUGUCCUUCUGUCUCUCUGCUGUCUGGAAGAUGAUGACUUCUGUCUUCUUGCUCUGUGGGACCAGUGGGUUCAUAGAAAUGGAUUUGGCCAGGGCCGUCCUUGGGGCGGUGCAGCUGGUGCGGUCACUGACCCUCACAGAAAACUUCCCCGUGGUGAACAGACCUGGAUUUUCCUCUCUCUGUUGAGGAGACCCGACCAGAUCCAGUCCUGAGUUCAGUGCGUCUGUGUUCACUCACUCACGGAGGAUGAUGAGGAUGAUGAUGAGGAUGAUGAUGAAGAGGACAAUGAACUAGAAAUUCACUUUUUUUUCUUGACUUUGUAUGAAAUGCUUUCCAUCUCUUAUUAAAAGGAUGAUUACAAAACAGAUUUCAUACUGUCAACAUUUCCAUGCCUUUAAAGUUUUGCUCUUUAUG